rnacentral:rRNA from 1 species
UGUGUAGGCGGUUCUUUAAGUUUGGUGUGAAAUCUCCCGGCUCAACUGGGAGGGAGCGCCGAAUACUGAGGGACUAGAGUACGGGAGAGGAAAGUGGAAUUCCUGGUGUAGCGGUGAAAUGCGUAGAUAUCAGGAGGAACACCGGUGGUGUAGACGGCUUUCUGGACCGACACUGACGCUGAGACACGAAAGCGUGGGUAGCAAACAGGAUUAGAUACCCUGGUAGUCCACGCCCUAAACGAUGCAUAUUUGGUGUGGGCAGUUCAUUCUGUCCGUGCCGGAGCUAACGCGUUAAAUAUGCCGCCGUGGGGAGUACAGUCGCAAGGCUGAA